ACAGCAGCCGCCGCGGGAAUACGGAGGGAGCUAGCGUUAUUCGGAAUUACUGGGCGUAAAGCGCACGUAGGCGGCUUUGUAAGUAAGAGGUGAAAGCCCAGAGCUCAACUCUGGAAUUGCCUUUUAGACUGCAUCGCUUGAAUCAUGGAGAGGUCAGUGGAAUUCCGAGUGUAGAGGUGAAAUUCGUAGAUAUUCGGAAGAACACCAGUGGCGAAGGCGGCUGACUGGACAUGUAUUGACGCUGAGGUGCGAAAGCGUGGGGAGCAAACAGGAUUAGAUACCCGCGUAGUCCCUGUCUCUUAUAC
rnacentral:rRNA from 1 species